rnacentral:lncRNA from 1 species
AUUACCAUGCCUGACUACAUCUUCGAUACUUCCCAAGUACUUGCGUGCUGGGCAACUUGUACAGGAAGCCCUUACAGAAUAAGCUGGUCCCAGAGUGCGCCUGUUGCUAAGCCCCAGGCAGAAGGGGUCUCACAGUACCCUCAGGAGACUGGCUGCUCCCCUUUAAGGCUACAUCAUGAAGAGUUAUGAGCUCACAGCCUGCUCCAGCAGAGCCCUGCCGCUGAUCACUGUUGUCUCUCGCAUGAUUUGCAUUCAGAAGCAAGCAUUAACACCUACACACGUGCUCUGAAAACUGUAUUCAACAGCAGCUAACAAAGUAAAAGGAAAGAAAGCAGCUUACAUUUGGCAUUGAGAGAGAUUGAUCCAAUCCGAUCUCUACUUUGUUCACCACCGCAAUACUGAAUGAUAGAACACCCACAAACACCGCUAUCUGGAAAAAAGCAAAUCACGAGACGAUUGCUAAUGUAAUCAUAAACUGAAGAAGAGAAAUAACGUCGGACACACCAAA